rnacentral:rRNA from 1 species
GAUGAACGCUGGCGGCGUGCCUAAUACAUGCAAGUCGAGCGAACGGACGAGAAGCUUGCUUUUCUGAUGUUAGCGGCGGACGGGUGAGUAACACGUGGAUAACCUACCUAUAAGACUGGGAUAACUUCGGGAAACCGGAGCUAAUACCGGAUAAUAUUUUGAACCGCAUGGUUCAAUAGUGAAAGACGGUUUUGCUGUCACUUAUAGAUGGAUCCGCGCUGCAUUAGCUAGUUGGUAAGGUAACGGCUUACCAAGGCAACGAUGCAUAGCCGACCUGAGGGGGGAACCGGCCAAACGGAAACGAGAAAACGGCCCAACCCCCACGGGAGGGCGGAGUAAGGAAUCCUUCCGAAUGGGGGGAAGGCCUGAGGAAGAAACGCGGCGGGAGUGAGGAAGGUCUUGGGAUCGUAAAACCCUGUUAUAGGGGAAAAAAAAAUGUGAAAGUAACAGUGAAGAUCUGAAGGGAACCAAAUCAGAAGGCCACGGUAAAUUACGG